CGGCUGGGGCGGCUGGGGCGUUGAACUCCAUGCUUGCCCUGCAGGUGCCUUUGCUCUCAAACUCUCUUGCUAGCCCAGUGUUUCUGAGAAAAGAACUCCUGGGUCCUAGGAGGGGGGAGAAGAGGAAGCUGGGGGCUCAGCAGCUGGCUAAGGAGCCUGUCGUGUGGGUACAGAAGCACCCGGGGGCUCAUUGCGUGCCAGGCAGGGUUUAUCCACUAUGGUUGCCGCACAGAGGAAACGAAGACGGAGAAAGAGCAUGGCAGCAGGGACAGCGGUCCACACAGGACCCACAGGGUGGAGGAAGAGAACAGACUCCUGCAAGUUGUUCUAUGACCUCUGGUUUCUUGGAGACCAGGUUCGUCUGGAACUCUAUGUAGCUGAAGAUGACCCUGUGCUCUCAGUCCUUCUCCUCUACAGUCCAAGUGUUGGAAUUACAGGCAAGUACCACCAUGCCUGCUUUACGAGGUGCUGCAGUUGGAGUCCCUGGCUACAUGCUAGCCAAGCUCUUACCAGCUGAGCCACAUCCCCAGCUGCCUACUUCCUUACUGUUUUUCUUUCUAUCAUUCCUCUACUUUUCUGGUUUUUUUGUUUGUUUGUUUUUUGAGACAGGGUUUUGCUGUAGUUUUUGAGUCUGUCCUGGAAUUAGCUCUUGUAGACCAGGUUGACCUCUAACUCACAAGAGAUCCACUUGCCUCUGCCUCCCGCGUGCCUGAGUGCUGGGUGGGAUUAAGGCAUGUGUCACCACCACCCAUCCGUUUCUCUCCUUUCCUCUUUCCUCUCCUUCCUUCCUUCCUUCCUUCCUUCCUUCCUUCCUUUCUUUCUUUCUUUCUUUCUUUCUUUCUUUCUUUCUUUCUUUCUUUCUUUUUUGAGCUAGGAUCUCACUAUGUAGCCAGGCUGGCCUUAAA